rnacentral:rRNA from 1 species
GGCCUAACACAUGCAAGUCGAACGGUAACAGGAAGAAGCUUGCUUCUUUGCUGACGAGUGGCGGACGGGUGAGUAAUGUCUGGGAAACUGCCUGAUGGAGGGGGAUAACUACUGGAAACGGUAGCUAAUACCGCAUAACGUCGCAAGACCAAAAAGGGGGACCUUCGGGCCUCUUGCCAUCGGAUGUGCCCAGAUGGGAUUAGCUAGUAGGUGGGGUAACGGCUCACCUAGGCGACGAUCCCUAGCUGGUCUGAGAGGAUGACCAGCCACACUGGAACUGAGACGCGGUCCAGACUCCUACGGGAGGCAGCAGUGGGGAAUAUUGCACAAUGGGCGCAAGCCUGAUGCAGCCAUGCCGCGUGUAUGAAGAAGGCCUUCGGGUUGUAAAGUACUUUCAGCGGGGAGGAAGGGAGUAAAGUUAAUACCUUUGCUCAUUGACGUUACCCGCAGAAGAAGCACCGGCUAACUCCGUGCCAGCAGCCGCGGUAAUACGGAGGGUGCAAGCGUUAAUCGGAAUUACUGGGCGUAAAGCGCACGCAGGCGGUUUGUUAAGUCAGAUGUGAAAUCCCCGGGCUCAACCUGGGAACUGCAUCUGAUACUGGCAAGCUUGAGUCUCGUAGAGGGGGGUAGAAUUCCAGGUGUAGCGGUGAAAUGCGUAGAGAUCUGGAGGAAUACCGGUGGCG